rnacentral:lncRNA from 1 species
GGAGAAAUGCGGCUGAGAAGAGAAGUCAGAGUUGAGCUGGGGGAGGCUUCAGAGGCUCUGCAUGCCCAGGAGGCUUCUCUGAGACUGGGAAGGAGUGGAAACUCAGUAGCCCGUGGUCCUGGUUGCGCGCUCCCUCCCAUGUCUUCAUUAUCUGAUUUGGUAAAAUAUCUACAAGACGGGGGAGUCCGGGCUGCUUUCUUUGACACUGGUCAUCACUCCACACCUAGACGCUAUGUCCAUGUCUGGAAGAUGCUUUUAAGGAAGUUUUGAUGCAGAGAAGAGUGGCCGGUGCUCUUCCUCGCGUGCCACCAUCUGCUUACUUCCAGAAGCUAAUUAUUUUCAUGUGACUGAUGUGACUAAUAUUUUUUAACGCCUGCAGGUUCUGAAAACAGCCAGUUACUUCCCAAGAGUUGCACAGAGAAGCCUGCACACUUCCAUCUGGAUAUUUAGUUACCCUCUUGGAAACAGUCUCCACUCCACCCAUCACAUUCUACCUCCAAGGACUGGAACACAGACUUAUUCCCACCUCCCCGCUUCUGGGCUCUUGGCUGGCCCCAGGUCUCUGACAAUCCUCCCUUGGGGCCAGAGGUACUCAAGGAUGCCAAGAGGGAUAUUGAGUUCACACACACACACACACAAGGUGCAAAAAAACCCCUUGGGUAUUGGCCUAACCAAUAAACACUUUUCUUUGGUUAAUCAUUGCUAUUAUCAAAAAAUCUUAAUAUAAAAAUCUAGGCUAUACAAAGAAAAUUACUCAAAUACAAAUGUUGUUCACAUUGUAAAUUUGCAUUCUACUACUUUUUUCAAGUUGUUUUUGCUUAAAAAUAUGUGUAAUCACAAGUUGAGAUAGUUUAUGUCCAUUUCUGUGGUUAUUUUACCUACACCUCCCAGUCUAUCAUUGAUGGGCAUUUGGGUUGGUUCAUGUCUUUGCUGUUUUAAAUAGUGCUGCAAAUAGAUUUAUAUUCCUUUGGGUAUAUACCUAGUAAUGGGAUUCCUGAGUCAAAAGGUAUUUCUGGUUCUAGAUCCCUGAGGAAUUGCCACACUGUCUUCCACAAUGGUUGAGCUAAUUUACAUUCCCACUAACAGUGUAAAAGCAUUCCUAUUUCUCCACAGCCUCGCCAGCCAUCUAUUGUUUGACUUUAGAACUGUCUAUUCAUGUCUUUGCCUAUUUUUAAUUUUACUUUAAGUUCCAGGAUACAAGUGCAAAAUGUAUAGGUUACAUAGGUAUACACGUGUCAUGGUGGUUUGCUGCACCCUAUCCACCCAUCACCUAGGUUUUUAGCCCUGCAUGCAUUAGUCGUUUGUCCUAGUGGUCUCCCUCUCCUCACCCCACACCCUCCAACUGGCCCUGGUGUGUGUUCUUCCCCUCCCAGUGUGUCCAUGUGUUCUCAUUGUUCGACUCUUACUUAUGAGUGAGAUGAGGUACUUUUCUGUUCCUGUGUUAGUUUGCUGAGGAUGAUGGCUUCCAGCUUCAUCCCAUGUCCCUGCAAGGACAUGAUCUCAUUCCUUUUAUGGGUGCAUAGUAUUCCAUGGUGUACAUGUACCACAUUUUCUUUAUGCAGGCUAUCAUUCUUGGUGUUUCUGUGGGAUGUUUUAAAAAUAAACUAACAUUUGUAUUGGCA